CGAUUAACGCCAAUAGUGGAUGCCUAGGAAGUAUUGACCGAAGAAGGACGCAUCAAGGUUAGCGAAAAUUGUCGGGGAGAGACCUAUGACUCUUUGAUCCGGCAGUGUCCGAAUGGGGAAACCCACCCUUUAGGGGAGCUUCUACUGAAGUUCAUUUGAAUUUAUUCGGAUGAUAUUAGGUAGCAGUAGGUAACCCGGGAAACUGAAACAUCUAAGUACCCGGAGGAAUAAAAAUCACAGAGAUUCCGUUAGUAGCGGCGAGUGAAAGCGGAAAAGCCUAAACUACUCGUAGCAAUACCAGUAGUGUUGCAGGAUGACUUGCUUAAAUGCAAUGGAGUACAAGAGAAAGAUAGCAGAAGGUGCUGGAACUGCACCACCAUAGGGAGUGAUAGUCUCGUAAGCGAAAUUUUUCUCUCUCCUCGUUAUAUCCUAAGUACUAUGAGGCACGAUUUAAACCUUGUAGGAAUCUGGGGCGACCACGCUCCAAGGCUAAAUAUCAAUACUUACCGAUAGUGAACUAGUACCGUGAGGGAAAGGUGAAAAGCACCCCGGGAGGGGAAUGAAAUAGUACCUGAAACUAUUGGCUGACAAGCAGACGAAGCAGAUUUAUUCUGUGACGUCGUGCCUAUUGAAGAAUGAGCCGGUGAGUUAAUUUAUAUUCCAAGUCUAACCAUCUCUGAUGGGGAGGCGUAGUGAAAGCGAGCCCUAACUGGGCGUUUAGGAGUGUAGAUUAAACCCGAAACCAGGUGAGCUAACCAUGAGCAGGUUGAACUCUCGCGAAAGUUGAGAGGGAGGACCGAACCCUUUUCCGUUGCAAUGGGAUGGGAUGACUUGUGGUUAGGGGCGAUAUGCCAAACGAACCUGGAGAUAGCUGGUUCUCCCUGAAAUAUAUCUUGGUAUAGCUUCCGUUUAAAGUUUGCUGGGGGUAGAGCACUGAAUGGCUCUGGGUGGCGCAAGCUAUUCAAUUCAAUCAAACUCCGAAUACCAGUGUAAUGUUCACGGAAAGUCAGAACUGCGGGGCUAAGCUCGUGGUUCGAGAGGGAAACAACCCAGACUUUCAGCUAAGGUCUCUAAAUUCAUGCUAAGUUGUUAAGGAAGUCAUUGUCCUCAGACAGCUAGGAGGUUGGCUUAGAAGCAGCCAUCCUUUAAAGAAAGCGUAACAGCUCACUAGUCGAUUUGGGAUAGUGGCGCCGAAAAUGAUCGAGGAUUAAGCAUGAUACCGAAGCUAGAGAAUCCGUAAGGGUUGGUAAGGGAGCGUUCUAUGUGCCUUGAAGCUUUGCCGUAAGGUGGGGUGGAGCGCAUAGAAGUGAGAAUGCCGGCAUGAGUAGCGUAUUGCGCUUGAGAACAGCGCACGCCAAAAGCCUAAGGAUUCCUUCGCAAUGUAAGUCAGCGAAGGGUUAGUCGGCACCUAACGGUAGCCCGUCAAAAAGCGCGGGAUAGCCGGAUGGACGAGUCGUUAAAAUUCGACUACUUUAGAUUAAUCGUUAUUACUUAAGGAUUGACUGGACUGGAAGAGACAGCCCGAUACGUCGGGUUUAAAUCACGAGGCAGUGAAGAUUGGCAAAUCCGUCUUUAUGUUUUAACCGAGUGAUGAUGACAAAUAGGAAACGCGAGAAGUACUAUAAGUGUUAUCUUUCAAUCUACGAGAAAAGGUUCGUAAGGAGAUUAAUUUGGAGCCGUACCGCAUUACCGACACAGGUAGGCAAGUCGAGUAGACUAAGGCGAUCGUGAGAAGUGUGUUCAAGGAACUCUGCAAAAAAUCUAGGCGUAACCUAUGGGAGAUGCCUUGCCUACUGUAAAAGGUAGGCCAUAUGCAAAAGAAUGCUUAGCAACUGUUUAUCUAAAACACAGGUCCCUGCAAAACCGAAAGGUAAGGUAUAGGGGCUGACACCUGCCCAGUGCCGGUAAGUCAAAAGUGUUGGCUGAAGACUCGCAAGAGGAUCAGGCUGGUACUUAAGCUCCGGUGAACGGCAGCAGUAACUAUAACUGUUCUAUGGUAGCGAAGUUCCUUGUCGGGUGAGUUCCGACCCGCACGAAUGGUAGAAUGACCGAAUAACUGUCUUGAACACAUACACGGCGAAAUUGAGAUGGCUGUGAAGACGCGGCCUGGUAGUCCUUGGACAAAAAGACCCCGGGAGCUUUACUGUAGCUUGGCAUUUGUGAGUUUUUUCUAACUGUCGAGAAUAGGAGGGAGCGCUUUGCGCAAUCGUGGAAUACCUCUCUUUGGAAAGAGCAAGCAUUACUUCUUUACCGCAUAAAAACUCGGUAGAAGGACAUUGUCGGGUGGGCAGUUUGACUGGGGAGGUCGCCUCCUAAAUGGCAACGGAGGUGUACAAAGGUUGGCUUAGUACGGAUGGAAAUCGUACUGAAUCUAUAUUGGGAUAAGCCAGCUUGACUGCGAGAGAAACGACUCGAGCAGGUGCGAAAGCAGGUCAAAGUGAUCCUGCGCUGCAUAGUGGUAUGCACGUAGCUUAUCGGAUAAAAGCUACCCCGGGGAUAACAGGCUGAUCGCUCCCAAGCGUCCACAGCGACGGGGCGGUUUGGCACCUUGAAAUAUAUUUGUAACCCAAAUAUCGGGGCGCCAAUAAUUACCGCAAGAUAAUUAGAAGCCUGAUUCUUCAGAUAAUAAGAUUGAUAGGUCUUUUUGUAGAAUAAAAAUACUAGCUCAAAUCGGUGAACUCCUUUAUAUUGAACACAUGAAGGACAAUACCGAGAAGCCCGCCUUACAGGUGUGGUUUUGUAUCGACUGUUUUGUUCAUAUUUUGUGAACAGAACGAUGGAGGGUCCUUGUUCGAUUUAAAAAUCGAACAAAAUAUAUGACCUCCAUAACACGGCUAGCUUCCGAUGUCAUCGGAAUGAAGGUAUAGUCAACCCCUUUGGUAACAGAGGGACAAAUCAUCGUCUCAUAGAAAUAUGAGGCUGAGACAGCGAUGUCGGCUCAUCCUAGCGCGGAGGUGGAGAAGCUUCCAAGCGUCUGGCUGUUCGCCAGUUAAAAGGGUACGCGAGCUGGGUUAAGAGCGUCGUGAGACAGCUCGGUCUCUAUCCAGGAUUACCGUUUGAGAUUUGAAGGGAGUCGCCCCUAGUACGAGAGGACUGGGGUGAGGGAAUCCCUGGUGUGCCGGCUGUACCAUAGAAUGGGCAACGUCGGGUAGCUAUAUUCCCAUGGGAUAACCGCUGAAAGCAUCUAAGUGGGAAGCCCACCUUAAGAUAAGAUCUCUUUUAGACCCCUUGAAGACCACGAGGUUGAUAGGCUACAAGUGUAAGGCGAGUAAUCGUUUCAGCUUAGUAGUACUAAUAGGUCGAGA
rnacentral:rRNA from 1 species